GCCGACGUAGCUCAGUGGUAGAGCAGCUGUCUUGUAAACAGCAAGUCAUCCGUUCGAAUCGGAUCGUCGGCUCCA
rnacentral:tRNA from 1 species